UGGGGCAUCGUCCAGUGGUCAGGACACGGGUUUUUGGUGCCUGGAACCUAGGUUCGAAUCCUAGUGCCCCAGCCA
rnacentral:tRNA from 2 species